UCCUACGGGAGGCAGCAGUGGGGAAUAUUGGACAAUGGGCGCAAGCCUGAUCCAGCCAUGCCGCGUGGGUGAUGAAGGCCCUAGGGUUGUAAAGCCCUUUCGGCGGGGAAGAUAAUGACGGUACCCGCAGAAGAAGCCCCGGCUAACUUCGUGCCAGCAGCCGCGGUAA
rnacentral:rRNA from 1 species